UAUCCUCUAGAUAGACGUCCGAAACUGCAGUACAAGUGGGGACGAAUUUCUGUCUUAGGUCACUGCAAGGCAGACCUCUAUCUAAUCAAUCAAGUUAGUGUUGUUCGUUUUAUUUCGUUGUUAUUUUCAAUUUCAUUUUGAUUUCGUUGAUAUAUAUAUACUGUUUUUGAACGAAUAUUGGAUUGGUUCUAACAAUCUAAGACAGAAAUUCUCUAUUGUGUAGAGAUGGAUCAAUAUGUGUCUGUUCUGAAAAAUCAUGUUGAGAGACCCGAGAAAUUCAAGGGGUCGGAUUUCAAACGCUGGCAACAGAAGAUGUUGUUCUAUUUAACAACACUUCAUGUGGCAAAUGUUCUCACUGCCGAGGCUCCAAAGGCUCUGCCGGAAGGAGAAGGGGAGAAUGCUCCAACGGAUGCUCAAAGGGCCGAAAAUUUGAAGGCUAUUGAGACUUGGAACAACAAUGAGUAUAGUUGCAGAAACUACAUCCUCAAUGCCUUGGACGAUUCCUUGUAUGAUAUAUAUUCUACCUUCAAGACGGCAAGGGAAUUGUGGGAAUCAUUGGAGAACAAGUACAAGACUGAAGUUGCUUGUUCCAAGAAGUUUGUCAUUGGCAAGUUUCAAGAUGAGCGAUGCCAAGUCUGUUGUCAAGCAAGUGGAGGAACUCCAAGUCAUUGUUCAUGAGUUAGAUGUGGAAGGUAUGGGUUUUAACCCGAAUUUCCUUGUUGGUUCUAUUAUUGAGAAGUUACCUCCUUCAUGGAAAGAUUUCAAAAUAUAUCUGAAACAUCUAACCGAGGAUAUGAAUUUUGAGCAAUUGGUUCUUAAACUUCGAGUUGAAGAGGAUAACCGGAAGAAUGAAAGGGCUGAUGCUAUUUCCUUGGAGCCAACUGCAAAUAUGGUUGGAGGAAGUCCAUCAAAGGCCAAGUUUAAGAAAAAUAAAGGCAAAGGUGUUGCUGCCAAGCCUCUUUUUAUUGCUGGAAAGAACCUUCUCUCCUCACAAAAGUCCAAAGCAUUCAAGAAGCCACAAAUUGGAGGCUGCUGGGUGUGUGGAAAACCAGGGCAUAGAGCAAAGGAGUGUCGCCUUAAGAAAGAUCAUGGAGGUGCUGGAGGUUCUGGAAAUUCCAACCAAGCAAACCUUGCUGAGUCUGAAAAUCAAUUCAUUGGAGUGAUUGAAGCAAAUCUGGUUACCAAUGUUGUUGAUUGGUGGGUUGAUACUGGUGCUACAAGGCAUGUAUGCUCUUCAAAGGAGAUGUUCUCUUCAUACCAACCAAUCAACGAUGGAGAAUCAUUGUUCAUGGGGAAUGCCACUACUGCAAAGGUGGAAGGAAAAGGGAAGGUGAUUCUGAAACUCACUUAUGGGAAAGAUCUUGUACUUACUAAUGUGUUACAUGUGCCUGAAAUUUGUAAGAAUCUAGUUUCUGGUCUUGUUUUAAGCAACAAAGAUUCAAACUUGUAUUCGAAUCAGACAAAUUUGUUCUCACCAAGGGUGGGAUGUAUGUACGUAGGAAAGGGUUACCUCUAUGAAGGGCUCUUUAAGCUUAAUGUUAUACCUACUAUGGAUGAUGGUAUUAUUAAUAAUAAUAAUGCAGGCACUAGCACUGCUUCUAUGUACAUGGUUGAGUCUUCUUCCUUAUGGCAUUCUAGAUUAGGCCAUGUUAAUUUCCGUUCUUUACAAAGAAUGAUAAAAUUAGGCAUGCUGCCAAAGUGUUCUAUGAACAAAUUGACUAAGUGUGAGAUCUGUAUAGAAUCUAAAUAUGCAGGUCAUCCUCAUAAAUCUGUGGAGAAAUCCAAUAAAGUACUUAGUUUAAUUCAUAGUGAUUUGUGUGAUUACAAAGCAACUCCAUCACGUGGAGGAAAGAACUAUUAUAUAUUAUUUAUUGAUGAUUGCAGUAAAUAUUGUUAUGUAUAUUUGAUACAUACCAAGGAUGAGGCUUUAAACAUGUUUAAAACAUACAAAGCCGAGGUUGAGAAUCAACUUGAGAAAAGAAUAAAAAUUCUAAGGUCUGAUAGAGGAGGAGAAUACGAAUCCAAUGACUUUGCUGAAUUUUGUUCUGCUCAUGGUAUUGUGCAUCAAACUACAGCCCCAUAUAUUCCACAACAAAAUGGAGUUGCCGAAAGGAAGAAUAGAACAUUGAAGAACAUGAUAAAUUCAAUGUUAAUUACUUCGGGAGCACCACAUAGCUUGUGGGGUGAGGCUUGUAUUACUACAAAUAUGAUAUUAAAUAGAAUUCCUCAUAAACAAAGUGAUCAAUCUCCUUAUGAGUUAUGGAAAGGACGAUUGCCUACUUUUAAAAUGAUGAAAGUGUGGGGUUGUCUUGCUAAAGUUCAAGUUCCUUUACCAAAGAGGACUAAACUUGGACCAAAAACAAUAGAUUGCAUAUAUAUUGGCCCUACCAAGAAUAGUGCAGCUUAUAAGUUUUUGGUUUACCAGUUUGAUGUGGAGGAUGUGAACAAAAACACAAUCAUGGAAUCUGCCGAAGCAGAAUUUUUUGAGAAUAUAUUUCCUUAUAAGGAUAAAGAGGAUAAAGAGAAAGAGAAAUCUAAUCCAAGGAAAAGAACGUAUAAUGAUACGUUGUCUCAAAAUGAAUUAAACAAAAGUACUGACACUGAUGAAAACAAUACUUCUGCGGUUCAAGAAGCAACUCUAGAACCAAGAAGAAGUAAACGUGGAAAAAUAGCCAAAGAUUUUGGACCUGACUAUAUGACCUUUGCUAUUGAAGAAGAACCUCAAACAUAUAAAGCUGCCAUGGAAUCAUCGGAAACACCUUAUUGGAAAGAAGCUAUUCAAAGUGAAGUAGAAUCCAUUAUGCAAAAUAAUACAUGGAAAUUGGUUGAUUUACCUCCGGGACAUAAACCAAUAGGCCAUAAAUGGAUUUUCAAAAGGAAAUUGAGACCUGAUGAUACCAUAGAGAAAUACAAGACUCGUAUAGUAGCCAAAGGGUAUCGUCAAAAGGAAGAUGUAGACUUCUUUGACACUUAUUCGCCGAUGACAAGAAUUACGUCUAUAAGGACGUUAAUGACAAUAGCGGCUGUUCACAAUUUGGAAAUACACCAAAUGGAUGUGAAAACCGCAUUCUUAAAUGGUGAAUUAGAUGAAGAAAUAUACAUGCACCAACCUGAAGGGUUUGUUGUUAAAGGUCAAGAGAAUAAGGUGUGUAAAUUGGUUAAGUCCCUUUACGGCCUUAAGCAAGCUCCAAAGCAAUGGCAUGAGAAGUUUGAUAAUACACUUUUAUCAAAUGGUUUCAAAUAAAUGAAUGUGAUAAAUGUGUUUAUGUUAAACAAUGUAGAAAUGCAUGUGUUAUUAUAUGUUUAUAUGUGGAUGAUAUGCUUAUUAUGGGAAUGAAUAUGGAUGUAAUUAAUCAAACCAAGGAAAUGUUGCACUCCUCUUUUGAUAUGAAAGAUAUGGGAGUAGCAGAUGUCAUUCUUGGUAUUCGAAUUCAAAGGAAUUUAGAUGGUUACAUAGUUACUCAAUCCCAUUAUGUGGAGAAGGUCCUUAGAAAAUUUGGACAUUAUAAUGAUAGGUCGGUUGUUACUCCAUUUGAUCCCUCUAGUCACCUUAAGAAGAAUCAAGGAGAAAGUGUGUCUCAAUUGGAGUAUACUCAAGUUCUUGGAAGCUUGAUGUACAUAAUGAAUUGUACACGAUCAGAUUUAACAUAUAGUGUGAGUAGACUUAGUCGUUACUCAUACAAUCCCGGGAAAGAUCAUUGGGAUGCACUAGUGAGAGUGCUCCGAUAUCUAAAACAUACAAUGAAUUAUGGAUUGCAUUAUACAAAAUAUCCUCCCGUAUUAGAAGGAUAUUGUGAUGCUAAUUGGAUUUCCAAUCAUUCGGAAAGUAAGUCCACAAGUGGUUAUGUAUUUACCCUUGGAGGUGCAGCCGUAUAUUGGAAAUCAUCAAAGCAAACAGUGAAUACACGAUCGACUAUGGAAGUCGAGUUUGUAGCCUUAGAUAAAGUCGCCGAAGAAGCGGAAUGGCUCAAAAACUUCCUAGAGGGUAUUCCAUUGUGGCCAAAGCCUGUUACUGCCAUUUGCAUACAUUGUGAUAGUAUGGCUGCUCUUACAAGAGCGAAGAACCAAAUCUACAAUGGCAAAUUGAGGCAUAUAAGGCGUCGUCACAAGACAAUACGAGGCUUGCUCAAGAAUGGAAUUAUUUCCAUCGACUAUGUAAAGUCCAAGGAGAAUAUAGCAGAUCCUUUGACAAAAGGCCUAAAUAGAGAGCAAGUAGUAUUUACAUCGAGGGGAAUGGGCUUAAAGCCAAUACAAUGAGUCAUUACUUGACGGAAACCUAACCUAGCAACAUUGGAGAUCUCAUGGUCUAGGUUCAAUAGGCAAACUAGUUGGGGAAGACUCAAAGAGCAUCAACACACAUAUAUAUGCUCAUUCCUAUGAUGAUUUUAAGUGUGUUUUUCCAUUGACGAUUAAGGGUUGGAUAUUUAUUUAUUCUUAAUAAUGCUAAUAGCUUUUAAAGUGGAAUAGUACGGACUAUUCUUGAUUGGCAUUACCUAUAUGAGAUUGAUGUGGGGUCGCAUCUUUGAGAACCGAGAUGGCUACGUUCUCUAAAAUUCUCAUGAAGAAGGAUUUGUUCAAGACCGAAAUGAACACAACCGUAAAAAUUGAAUUAUGUAUAGAUGUGAUAUGUGUGAUAUUUGUUGUUUCGAUUUACUACAAAAUGUGGUUAGUUCAAGACUAAAGUUCACUACCCACAAAGUAAGUCCGAUAAGUACUCACUACGAAAGGUUCAAGUUCAAAAGACACCUUUUUCGAUGCAUAUCAUAUUUAGAUUCUUGGAAAUAGUAAAAUAAGUUCCUCUCAUUAUCUUAUUUUCUAUUCAAAUAUGAGGUAUUCUUAGAGUUUGAAUAGAAAAUGUGGGGUAUUGUUGGAACUUGUGUGGUAUUUAUCCCACAUUGAAGAAGAAUUAAAUGUGUGAGUCUUUAUAUGUAAACACCCAUGUGACUCAUUAAAUAGAUGAUAAACCUAAUAUGGGCUUGGUGGGCUUUCUAUUGGGUUUCCAAUAGAAAUAAAUAUAUAUAUUAAUAUAUAUAUAUAUAUAUAUAUAUUUAAUAAAGGAAAAAUUCAGUUUACUACCCUGAACUUUAGGUCUAAAAUCAGUUUGAUACCUCUAUUUUUUUUUAAUCAGUUUCAUACCUAAACUUUCAAAAUGACAUCAAUCUCGACCAAAAUGACUAAAAUAGCCCUGGUUAAUCUNNNNNNNNNNNNNNNNNNNNNNNNNNNNNNNNNNNNNNNNNNNNNNNNNNNNNNNNNNNNNNNNNNUCUCUUUCUCUCCCUACCUCCAAAUCUGCCACAUGGCCGGCGCCGGCAUCCACUCCUACCACCAGUAAUGGGCCCCGGCGGCAUCCCCUCCUCCUCCCCCGGCCGUCGCCGCUGUCAUUCUUAACUCUAAGAGGGUAAAAAGAUUAACCAGGGCUAUUUUAGUCAUUUUAGUCGAGAUUGAUGUCAUUUUGAAAGUUUAGGUAUGAAACUGAUUAAAAAAAAAGAUGAGGUAUCAAACUGAUUUUAGACCUAAAGUUUAGGGUAGUAAAGUGAAAUGAUCUCUUUAAUAAAAGUCAAAGAUUGGGCCUUGGGCUCUGUUGGUUAAAUCCGAAUUUAAUUUUUUGGAAAUUAAUAUUAUUUAAUUUAAUUAUUAAAUUUGGAUAAAUAUCAAAAGACAUAACUGUCCAAACAGUUACAACUGUCCGAGCAGUUACAACUGUCCGAGCAGUUGUGUCUGUCCAAACAGUUAUACAUGUUCAAAUUGACUUUUAUAUAAAGACGACUUCUGUCGUUGUUUUGAUCAUUGAAUCACUCUUCUUCUUCCUCCCCAAAAACUAUUUAUGCUGAAGCAUAAAGUAAAUUCGCCAGGGUCAAGUUCUUGUGCAAGAACUUGAACCAGAUAGUUGUAUCCUCUAGAUAGACGUCCGAAACUGCAGCACAAGUGAGGACGAAUUUCUGUCUUAGGUCACUGCAAGACAGGCCUCUAUCUGAUCAAUCAAGUUAGUGUUGUUCGUUUUAUUUCGUUGUUAUUUUCAAUUUCAUUUUGAUUUCGUUGAUAUAUAUAUAUAUAUACACUGUUUUUGAACGGAUAUUGGAUUGGUUCUAACAGCCUUUACAUGGUUUGGGCUGGUAAACUGCGAUUGUGGUUUGUGUGAUAGGCGUUGAGGCAGGGCAGCGAUAUAAGGGUGUGCACGCAGGUUGACGUCUUUGUGACUGAGUGGAAGUGGUGGAUAGAUCCAAACGGUUUUGUGCAAAGGGCGGCUCAGGUUUUAGGAGGCCAAACUGAUGGUUGAAGGUUAUGAUAGACCGCCUAAGCGGCGUUGAUGGAUGACAUUUUUGUUUCUAGCCGGUAUCUCGAUCUAUAACGGUCGGAAGAUGAGGAGGCCAGUGGGACGCUAGACUGUUUGCUUUCUGAGCUUUAUAUGGAGCUUAUGGCAUUAUGUUUUGGGUAGGCCAAGUUCGUUUUUUUUCUCUUCUCAUUUGGGUUGGUUAAUUAUGGGUUGGAACAUGACCUUUUUUCAAAGAUGUUCAAUGCAUUGACGAGGGAGGGACACACCAUGUGGGCCUUUUGGAAGAUGCGGAGAAUUACGGUCAUUUAUCGAAUAAAUUAGUUGUUAGUUUUCUUUUUAUUUUAGUUGUUCACUGUUUUAGACGUAGUUUUUUAGAAUUUAUUUUAAAUUUUUAUUAUUGUUUAUAGAAGAGCGCAAGCUCUUCAACUUGUAUACAAGCUUGCUCUUCAACUUGUGUACGAGCUGAUUCCUCCCCACUUAGCAAUAUUUGAUCGCACAGCUCUUCGCCAACAUAAUUUAUCUGCCUCUUAAAAAAGUAAAGUUUUAGACCCUCUUGAAUUUCCUCAAACAUUUUCUCCUUUGAAUAACUUUAGCUUGGACAACUUCCACCAUACUAAAAGUUACUAACAUCAAGCGGCUCUUGUAGUCUUGACCAGUGCUAAACCCCAAAACCCCCAAAAUCAGACGGCCACAGAUUCUCUCUCCCCUGAUCAAGUAACUUGGGGCUUUCCUUUUCCCUCUCAAAACCCUUCCCUCUUCCCCAUCUCUCUCUCUCUCNNUNN
rnacentral:lncRNA from 1 species